AUUUGCAGACAAACGCGUUUUUUAAAAACUUCAUUUUUCCGCGUAGCUGGAUCGAGUUCCGGAUUAAAUCGGUCCUUGUUAUUUCGGAGCACAUCGAAUUUGUUGGUGGUGAUCAAAGAACACCGAUGAGAUAUGACCCCGCACGAAAAGCAGAACCCGGAUUACACUUCCGGUAUUGGUGCGAAAAUGCAAGAUCGGAAGUCGGAAGAGUGACUGUUUUUUCACCAUCCGGGAGAAGCUGGAACGGGCUGGACUGCUUAAAAAACAUCACCCGCCGGUCAAAAAUGAAUACCUCACUCCCUCGUGAACGAACAGUACUGGAGACAAUGAUAUUUUGACCAUUUUCAUCUACAAAAUGUCACCAAGGUAUAUCGCCACUUCCGGCGUUGUCCGGCACCGGCGUUAUGUUAGAUUUUUUUUUAAUUUUAAUUCGGUAUUAGUGGGAGGAGAGGGGCCUUUGAUGCUACCGGGUGUUUCAACUGUGUUCAUCUAGCGAUCUUGCCUUAAAAUGUUGUUAUAAAGUAUCAUCUCUGUAUGAAUAAAAUUUACUUGGGAAACAGAACAUACCUAAUUAAAAAAAAUACAAUUGUAUCUUGUUGAGGUCAUGUGGAUUUUUCGAUUAACAACGAUAACUGUUUUAAUAUGAUGGAUUGGUUUAAAUAAAUAAGAAUACUAAAUAGAAACCGGAGAUUUUAAUGAAAAUUUUACUAUAGAAACUCUUCCAAAUCUGCAAAUUACACAGCUCUUUAAAAAAACGGUUAAAGAAUAACCUUUUUUCAACUUCUCCGCUAGAAUCCCAU